rnacentral:rRNA from 1 species
AGAUUGAACGCUGGCGGCAUGCCUAACACAUGCAAGUCGAACGGGAGUAGCAAUACUCUAGUGGCGGACGGGUGAGGAAUACGUAGGAAUUUGCCCUUAAGUGGGGGAUAACCCGGGGAAACCCGGAUUAAUACCGCAUGACCUCGAAAGAGCAAAGUGGGGGAUCGCAAGACCUCACGCUUUUGGAGAAGCCUACGUCGGAUUAGCUAGUUGGUGAGGUAAUGGCUCACCAAGGCGACGAUCCGUAACUGGUCUGAGAGGAUGAUCAGUCACACCGGAACUGAGACACGGUCCGGACUCCUACGGGAGGCAGCAGUGGGGAAUAUUGGACAAUGGGCGCAAGCCUGAU